AAUAGAUACGUGUUUUUGGCCAGAUACGAACUCCUGAAUACAUCUUUAUUGUAUAGCUUAAACAACCCGUAGUGAGGGCUUUUAAAAUGUAGGUGUACAAUAAGUGGUAACCAUUGCGAAAGGGUCGUGAUAUCGUUAUUGAGUUACAUGAUUGAUUAUGGAUUAUAAUUUUGAAAUAUCACCCAGUUUUAAAUGAAAUGUAGUCAUUGAUUAACUAUACAAAGAUGACAACGAAAGGCGAAUUAUUGGAUCCACUUAGGAUAAUCCUAGGAUUACUAAUUAUCAUCAAUAUGACACAUCUGAUAUCAGCAAAUGGUGAUCAAAAGAAAAGUCUAGAAGAUUUCAGGUAUAAAUCUACAGCAUCAGGUUCUAGUGAAUUCAGUGAUUGGCAAGUGACGUUAAUUAUGAUUGCUCUGGUGGUUAGUCUUUCAUCUCUAGUAAUGACAGCCUUAUAUUGCCACGAUAGACUUAAGAACAAAAGAGUUGAUAUUCGUGAUGUGACUUCCGUUGAAGAUCCAAAAGAAGAAUCAGCAAAUUUUCCUAAGCCUGUUUCGGCUACAGCACAAAAACUAGAACCAUUACCAGCCUCUGUUAAUCGCCCAACACGCCUUUCAUCUGACAUAAUUCGUCCAAGACCAUUACCUCCAAUAAGUGCUAAAAUGUAUCAUGAACCUACUGAACUACGACCAUUACCAAAAAUACCAAAAGCGACAACAUCAGUAUUUACAAUAGAAGCCCCACCCCCUUCAUACAACGAAUAUACCGAAUUUCCUCCAGGCAAUGCACCAUUUUAAAAGAAUUCCCCGUUCCUGUGAAAAAUUCAUUAAUUGUGAUAAAUCUGUAUAGAUUGUAAUAGCCUGUUUAUGUACAUAAAAUCUCUUGUAAAUUUUUAAUACUAGGGUAUUUUUUAUAUGUCAGACUGGUCAUUCGGUAAAAAUAAUUACAUUCCCUGGUCGUUUUUGUCGAAGGAAACCGUCUAUGGCUGGCGAUUCUAUAUUUUUGAAAAUGGCAUAUUGUUUAUAGUGUAAAGGAUUAAAAUUAAUAUUUUCAA